CUUCCACCAGAACCGAUCCGACUGAUCUAGAACCUCAAUAAGAUCUCCUGUGUGAAAGUCCAGCUCAUCUGGAUCUUCUGCUUUGAAAUCGUACACGGCUCGAACCGACAUCCCAGAUGACUGCAGAAACAAAAACAGAAAUGAUGUCCAAAAACCCAACAUCACCCCGGGGUGAGAAGAAACCACAGCAGAAAUAUGAGCAGUACAGGCAUCACCGACGUGUUCAGCGUCGUCGCGUCGAGACGGAAUCACCGGAUGGGUCUGCGGGAGAGCGCGUUCCCGCGUGCGCUCACCUGAAGCGAUGGUGCGCGCGCUCAGGUGAUGCAACUGCCUUCAAACCCCACACGAGACGCGUUGUGACUUUAAUGUUCAUCUGAAUUUCUGCAGCUCAGUGGAUGUGUUUCGCGCGCUUUUGCGUGUCAUUCCUGAAUCCUGACUGAAGACAUUCCCACAGAUGUUUUCACAGGAGUGUUGUUCAGGAUUUCGGAGGAAUGUCUUUGGAUGAAGAGUUACCACAGGGAUUAUCUUUAUUCAUUAGCACGUGUGAAUAAACACAGUGGAGAGCUAUAACACGGAUUUUACUGGACAUUUCUUCAUUAUUCAAGAGACCUGCACGCGUAUCUCCUCACACAUUCAUCUUUAAUGACUGAAAUAAAGACGGGUCCAAAACCAUGACAUCAGAGGACAAGGGUCCCACGGUGGUGGGGGCGGAGCCACAGGUGGACCCGUGCACCUCUCCCGGCUGGGAUCGGCCCAUAGAGGAGAAGGCGGAGCCUGCCAGGCCGGAAGAGGCGGAGCUGAGAGAUCAAGUAGCCGAUGAUGUCAGCAGUGAGUUAAGUGAUCUGGUCGUUCCGUACCCAGAGUUAGCUCCCAUCGUCUUCUUUUGCCUCAAACAGAGCACCUGUCCACGCAGCUGGUGUAUACGUAUGGUCUCCAGCCCAUAUCCUUUACCAGCAGUUUAAACCGGGUAGAGAUAAUCUUUCUUGCUCUUGGAGAAACUAUGAAUAAUAAUCAUCUGUGCACUGUGAUGAAGGUAUAAUGAGAAAAUCUAAUGACACAUCAGCGCUGGAUCCGCUUUGUGUCAAGUGCUUUCAUUGUGGAGUUGAAGAGUCAGUGUGAUCGAAGCGAGGGAUAUCAUAGCUUAUUAUUUUUAAAUCUGAAAGUAACUCUACUGUAACAGAUUGAAUCUCAUAUCUGUGAUGGAGCAGAAAUCUCAGGACCUCUGUGGUUUAUAUCCUGAAGUUCGUGAGUGCUUUAAAAGCCAGAGUUUUUUGAAGUAAAAUCCAGGGAAUAAAACGGCCUGAUGUUGUUGGUCUGUGUGAAAUGAAAGGUUGUGAUGUAGAAAUGUAUUGUGAUGUGAAUUGAUUUGUCUCCUGCUGCAGUGCAGGUGAAGUUUAAAUAAAGAAAUAGAUCAGUUGUUGAAUAAAUCAAUAAUGAAUGAAAUUAUCUUACACAUCACAGAGACAUGAACACUGCACAUUUCUUUUAAAACUUUCUUGCUCAGCAUUCAGAUGAUGUCUUGUGUUCUUCUGUGUGUGUGUGUGUUUGUGUGUGUUUGUAGUGUUAUAUAGGAGGAGACCGGGUUUGGACUAAAUGUUCUUGUUUUGUGAUCAAUACUGUGUGUGUGUUUGUGUGUGUGUGUCUGUGUUCUGGAUUGUAAGUUGAGUUCUUUCACAGAACCAGCGGGGUGAUCUGGGGUCACCACAGGGACCCAUCUGUGAUUCAGUGGAGGGAUAAUGUGGUCUCUUCUUAAUGUCUUCAUAACUUUUUAUACUGGUGAAGGUGCAGGUGUUGAACCCCUGUCUGCCGGGUUAAGAGAACAGUUUUUACACCAGCCAAACAAAUCAAACUUUUAUGUCAACCGGUCUCAGAUUGGCAUUGACCACCCUAUUAUUCAGUCCCUCCAGGAUUUUGCUGUCUAUUUUUGCUAUCAAAGAUGUUGGGUUAGUAAAUAAACUUAUGCUUGGUUGUUUCAAUGCAAUGCUGGGUUGUUUUAACUCAUGGUUGGGUUAACAACAACCCACCACAGGUUUAUUUAUAACCCAACAUGUGUCCAAUAUUUACCCAGCAUUGGGUUAAA